AAGUGUUUUCUUCUUAAAGGCUCUGGUGAAGAUUUGUAGUGAAGAUUUCAAGAUUGUGACAACCUGAACCUUUGUAUCAUAGAUUUUUUACUGUGGAAUUUCUGGAGGUUUUUUUUUCAUGUUUGCAUGCAGAUGAGUAUUACUGUAUGUAUAAAAGCACCUAUUAAACCAUGUUUUAAAUUGUUUAAAUUAAUACAUAAAGUAAAUCCAACUUAAUUCCCCAUAAAUGUACUUUGUGUAAUCCUGUGAAGUAUUAUAAAGUGGCUAUAACAUGUUACCCUCUCCAAACAGUCUAAAAAUUGUCACAAUGUGUCUAUACAGUAACAGAUGGAAUACUAUCAAGUCAUGUUAUUAUAAAUGUAACAGUAGUGGGAAGCUCACACCUGCUACGUAAUGUCAGUUAUUAGCUAAUAAUUAAACUUUGUGGGAGCUGGAGUUGCCAUCCAUGGUCAGGUGUUCUGUAUUUCUUGUUAUUCAGUUGGACAAGCAGCUCCUCAACAGAACCCACAAGGAGCACGGAAGGGGGAAGCAGCUGUAGGCUCAGUGUCAGUUUCAAAGCAGCCAUACAGGGCUAUAGCAGCCAUACAGCUUUUAAUUAUUUUCACAUUAUUCCUGAAUUUGGUUCAUCUAAUAGGGCCACACUCACUUCAGAAAUUUGCUUCCAUUGGGGACUGCUGUGGUGGAUAGAUUUUAGCUCAGGUACUUUUGUUCCUGCCCCAAUCCUCCCCUCCCACCAUGUGAACAUGAUUAAGGCAGCGCCUCAGGCUUCAGUACUCAGCUGUUUAAAAUUGGAGAUUGUGCUGCCAAUAAAAGACUCCCUCACUGAAUAACUGCCCUGUAGUUCUGUUAGGAAAAGGGGAUGGGUAGGGGUGAGUAGUCCCUCAAUCCCAGUGUUUGUACGUGCUGGGUUUGCUGUAGAGGUUGAGAUCAUCAGUAGGGAAGGAGAUGUGUUUUCUGCUGCUUGAGGAUUGAGAGGAGAACCUCAGCUGCCUUCAGACAAAGUGCCUCAUGUUGACCCUCCCCCCCGCGGGUAUUGCGCGGCUCCGGCUCUCCCUGCUGCCUCCCUCCUCCGCGCAAACGGGAUGCCAGCUGAACGUGAUGUUGUAAAAUCCAUGUGAGGACGAAAGGCAGAUGCAAUGAUUUGAAAGGUCUGUCUUGGGUGGUAAACCAGAUUUUGCCUACUGGAAGAAUGCAGUGAAACUGCCAGUAUUUCUAGCCGGAAUUAUUAAUUUAAUAUUCAACUUUAGUGUUACUAGUUUCUUACUAAAUAGUACCUCAAAGUAGAAGAAAAAUGUAUGGAAGUGCAAGAACAAUCAGCAACUUGGAAGGAAGUCCCUCCAGGUCCCCUCGCCUGCCACGGUCCCCUCGCCUGGGCCACAGGAGAACCAGCAGCGGGGGAGGAGGGGGCACAGGGAAGACGUUGUCCAUGGAGAACAUCCAGUCCCUUAACGCAGCCUAUGCAACCUCUGGACCAAUGUACCUGAGUGACCACGAGGGUGUAGCUUCUACUACUUUCCCAAAGGGCACAAUGACUCUUGGAAGGGCUACAAAUCGAGCUGUGUAUGGUGGCCGAGUCACAGCCAUGGGGAGCAGCCCCAACAUCGCUUCUGCUGGACUGUCACACACAGAUGUGCUCUCUUACACUGACCAGCACGGAGGGCUGACCACAUCCUCACACCACCACCACCACCAGGUUCCUUCCAUGCUGAGACAGGUUAGGGAUAGCACCAUGUUAGAUCUGCAGGCUCAGCUUAAGGAUCUACAGAGGGAGAAUGACCUUCUCAGAAAAGAACUAGACAUCAAGGACAGCAAGCUGGGGUCCUCUAUGAACAGCAUCAAAACUUUCUGGAGUCCUGAGCUAAAGAAAGAGAGAGUAUUGAGGAAAGAGGAAGCAGCCAGAAUGUCAGUUCUUAAAGAACAGAUGAGAGUUUCCCAUGAAGAAAAUCAGCAUCUGCAAAUGACAAUCCAGGCACUUCAAGAUGAGCUUAGAACCCAGAGAGAUCUUAACCAUCUUCUCCAGCAAGAAAGUGGGAACCGAGGGGCUGAGCAUUUUACCAUUGAGCUCACGGAGGAGAAUUUUCGAAGACUUCAGGCAGAACAUGAUAGACAAGCUAAAGAGCUCUUCCUGUUGAGAAAAACUCUAGAAGAAAUGGAGCUUAGGAUUGAAACACAAAAGCAAACACUAAAUGCCAGAGAUGAAUCAAUAAAAAAGCUUCUAGAGAUGUUGCAAAGUAAAGGUUUGCCUUCUAAAGGAAUGGAAGAUGACAAUGAGAGAACUCGAAGGAUGGCAGAGGCUGAAUCUCAGGUUAAUCAUUUAGAAGUGAUUUUAGAUCAGAAGGAGAAGGAAAACAUGCAUCUUAGAGAGGAAUUGCAUAGAAGAACCCAACUUCAGCCUGAGCCAGCAAAGACGAAGGCUCUGCAAACAGUCAUCGAGAUGAAGGAUACAAAAAUAGCUUCACUUGAGCGCAAUAUAAGAGAUCUUGAAGAUGAAAUACAGAUGUUAAAGACAAAUGGAGUUCUGAAUACAGAGGACCGAGAAGAAGAAAUCAAACAAAUAGAAGUUUACAAGAGUCACUCAAAGUUCAUGAAAAAUAAGAUUGAUCAACUGAAACAAGAACUCUCAAAGAAAGAAUCAGAACUUCUUGCCUUACAAACUAAGCUUGAAACCCUUAGCAAUCAGAAUUCAGAUUGCAAGCAACACAUUGAAGUGCUUAAAGAGUCCCUUACUGCCAAAGAACAGAGAGCUGCCAUACUUCAGACAGAGGUUGAUGCCUUGCGGUUACGGUUAGAAGAAAAGGAAACCUUUCUGAAUAAAAAAACAAAACAACUUCAAGACCUCACAGAAGAGAAGGGAACCCUUGCUGGAGAAAUUCGAGAUAUGAAAGACAUGUUGGAAGUAAAAGAAAGAAAAAUUAAUGUCCUUCAGAAAAAGAUUGAAAAUCUACAGGAGCAACUUAGGGACAAAGACAAACAGCUAACUAAUCUAAAAGACAGAGUGAAGUCGCUGCAGACGGAUUCCAGUAAUACAGACACAGCACUGGCAACCUUAGAGGAAGCUCUGUCAGAAAAGGAAAGAAUAAUAGAGCGUCUGAAGGAGCAAAGGGAUCGAGAUGACAGAGAAAGACUUGAAGAAAUUGAAUCUUAUAAAAAAGAAAACAAGGACCUGAAGGAGAAAGUUAAUGCUUUACAAGCUGAACUGACAGAAAAAGAGUCUAGUUUAAUCGAUCUCAAAGAACAUGCAUCUUCAUUGGCAUCAGCAGGGCUGAAAAAAGACUCCAAACUUAAGUCUUUAGAAAUAGCCAUAGAACAAAAGAAAGAAGAGUGUAGUAAGUUGGAAGCACAGUUGAAAAAGCAAGCUGAGCAGUUGUUCAAUCAGAUGUACAAUCCAAUGCCAAUUAGGAAUAAUGGGAAGCAAGGGGCUCAUGAAGCUGAAGAGGAGGCACGGAUGAAUCCAGAAUUUGCAGACAGAAUGAAACAGCUUGACAAGGAGGCAUCGUACUAUAGAGAAGAAUGUGGCAAAGCUCAGGCUGAGGUUGACAGACUUCUAGAAAUACUCAAGGAAGUAGAGAAUGAGAAGAAUGACAAAGAUAAGAAAAUUGCUGAGUUAGAAAGCUUGACUUCCAGACAUAUGAAGGACCAAAACAAGAAGGUUGCCAACCUGAAGCACAAUCAGCAGUUGGAGAAAAAGAAGAAUGCACAGUUGUUGGAAGAAGUUCGUAGGCGAGAGGACAAUAUGACUGACAACUCUCAACAUUUACAAGUAGAAGAGCUGAUGAAUGCAUUGGAGAAGACUAGACAAGAAUUAGACUCUACCAAAGCCCGUCUUGCCUCAACACAGCAGUCUUUGGCGGAAAAAGAAGCACAUCUGGCUAACCUGAGAAUAGAGCGAAGGAAGCAACUUGAAGAAAUUCUAGAAAUGAAACAGGAAGCUUUGCUUGCUGCAAUUAGUGAAAAAGAUGCAAAUAUUGCCUUGCUUGAGCUGUCUGCUUCAAAGAAAAAGAAGACUCAAGAUGAAGUAAUGGCUCUUAAACGAGAGAAGGACAGAUUAGUACAUCAGCUAAAACAGCAGACACAAAACAGAAUGAAGCUGAUGGCCGAUAACUAUGAUGAUGACCAUCACCACUACCACCACCACCACCAUCACCACCACCAUCGCUCUCCUGGGAGGACACAACACAACCACAGACCCUCUCCAGAUCAGGAUGAUGAGGAGGGUAUAUGGGCAUAGCCGCUCCUGUAAACCAAAGUUCCAGUUUUGUUUUGAGGGAUGAUCCAGUCACUGUUGGAGGCACAUAGCCACGGCACAAUCUCAUGCUGUACAUUGAUCACCUGUCCAACCUUUGCCUAGAGUGUGAUCCCCAGUUCCUUCAAGAGAUCCAUCUUUACCUGUCUAUAAAGAAGAAGAGGAGGAGGGAGACAUCUGGGAUAUUCAAGUAUCAAAGUUUAACACCAGAGCAGUUGUCAGAGGAACUAGUGAAAGAGGAAGAAAAAACUGUAGCACUGGAAGGUAACAAUGAUAAUCUAUUGCAUUGGAUCUCCAAACAUGACCAUGAUAUCCUGGAGAAGAUCACAGAUGCAGAAAAUGAAUGCUAAGGUUGAUAUCUAAUGAAAUGCUGCAUUGAUUAGCAUUUUCUCCAUUAUUUCUUGUAGUCUAUUGUGAAAUUAGAUACUUUGGAAAGUAAUGAAGGAGACUCAAGCAGAAAUUAUAAGAGCUUCAUUUCUGUCUUUAAUGGGUCUUGUGAGUUACUCUGUUUUUACAAAGACACCAUCUGUUCAGAAUAUAGUUGUUUCAUGAAGUUCAGUUAAACAGGUUACUUAGCAAAUUUUUGGUAAAUUAAUAUUGAUUUUAAUAGGUAAUUCAGAUUCCCUAGAUGUGGCAUCUGCAUUUGCUGAUUUUACCUAGUAUAUUCUAAAGUAUCACUUCUAUUGCACUAGAUUAUCAAAGAGGUAUUAGUAAAAUGCUAUAUAAGGGUGUUGGCAUUAACUUUACCCCCAGUUAGAUACAGGCUUUUCCAAAAAAUAAAAACAAGCCUUUACCCUCCUCUGUUUUCUUUUCUCUACUGAUAAAAUAAUAUAAAUUAAAAACAAACCAAAACCAAAUAUUGAUACUAUAACUGGUAUUAAGCUCUGGGCCAGGUUGGAAAUGAAAUCAAUUUUUGGUACUAAUAACUGAUGACAAAGCUUAGUUUUAUGAAAAUAUGGUGUGUGUCUCUGACAAUGCAUAGGACAUCUAAUUUGAACAUAAAUAAAUGAUUAUAUACAAGAUGUAUCUAUUCCUGGAUGGUAAAAGCUUGAGGUGUAUAUAAAUACAUAUGUGUGUAUAUAUAUGGACAUGUACACAAGGAUGUAUCAACCUUUUACCAUCCAAAUGCAUACAUUGUUUUCAACAAUAAAAGCUGGGACUCUUAAAGAAACAAACAAAAACAAAAAUAAAGAUAAGAUUGCUGUGAAUACAGUAUAUGCACUAGGUCUCCUGUAAAUGUGGAACUGUUUGUUAUUGUUCUCUGCAUUGAAAAACAGUCUCCAACACAGACCCCAAUGAAUCUUAGAUGUUAAAGAAAAUACCAAUGAACAAACAGCACUUGAAGGCUGUUUGUGUCAACAAAAUGUGUCUAGUAAAAUAAAUUUAAAGCACAUGCAAGGAAAAAUAAAAAUGUGAAGUCGUUCCAUUCAAUGAGAGACUCUUAACUGACAGUCAGAUCUCUACCACUUCUCAAGGAGAGGUUCCUUCUGACUCCACAAACAUUUUCAGUCAGUCUGGCAAACAUGUGCAAAUGUUUGGCUGUUUUGUUGAGGCAUCUUUUUGUCCAUGGAAGAAAUGCUUCCAUGCUGAUGGCAGUGGAAAUAGAAUAUCUGCAUUUUUAAAGGACAAACAAUAAAUUUAAGCAUGGGUGGCCUUAAUCCUUAGUAGUUUUUCUUUGCUGCUGUUAAAAAAAAAAGAAAAAAAGAAAAAAAAAGGAAAAAAAAUUAAAUGGAUACUCCUAAAGUCUUGCACUGAAUUUAGAAAAAUUAUUUUUUGAACCUGUGGUGCGAUUAACCCUAAACAUCCUACAUGAGCCAUACAUAGUAAUCCCCUUAAAAUUAUUGUCUAGAAAUGAUGUUUUAUUUAUUUGUACCAUGAUUCUCGGUGCAAUCAAGGAGCAAUUUAUUUGAGCAGGAGUCCUGCUGGAUGUGACUGUCUUCAGUAAAUAGAAUAAAAUGUAUAGAAUUAGCAUAGCGUAGAUAAUCCCAAUUUCAUUCAUGUUUAAAAAGUUUGUCCUUUAACUAUCAACGGCAUUUUAAAUCUUUGUUUUUGAAACAGCAAAGCUUUUGGGAGUAUAUUUAGCACAUAUGACAAAUGUUGCACUUGGAAACUCAGACAACAAAACAGGUUUCUCAUGACAAAUUUGUUGUCGCAGUAGGGGACAAUCGUCUGUGUCUCUUACAAUCAGGUCUUUACCUUAACUCUGCAACCGAAUACUUGAAGUAGGAUUUAAACUAGGGGGAAAUAGGGUCACAGAUACAAAGCUGUAUAGUUAGAUAUUUAUAUGUAUGUGCCAAUUUUGUCACAGAUAUUAUUUUAGGGGCAUUUUUGCUCCACUCAUGUUGGUAUGAGUAUUGAUCUAAACUUUUAUCAGGGCCUAAAAGUUAGCCCCUAAAGAGGAAAAUUUUGUCUAACAUUGAUUUUUUUCCUUCUUGCUUUUUUUUUUUUGUGGUUUUUUUUUUUUCUCCUUCUUUUCAUUUCAUGUGAUAUUCUAUGACGUUUGGAGAAAAUCUUUUCAUAUCCUAAAAUAGAAUCUCGGGGUUUACAAUAAACACUGUGAUGUUGGGAAAUAUUUUAUUUGAGCAAUGUUUGGUAGAUUUUUUUUUCCCCCCUCCUCUGAGUGUAAUGAAGCAAACCAACUUUUGCUUAACAUUUAAGAUAAUGGUUAUUAUUUUAAUGUGAGAUCAGUCUUGUACUGCACAUUCUUUCUUUCAUUUAAAUGUACAGUAUGAAUUUUGUAUUUAAUGAAUUUUGUGUAUCCAGUAUGCACGUACCUGCACAUUGACUUUCAUUUGAAAGUGGGUUUCGAUUUCCUUUUUAAACAGUGUUUAUGAAAAGACCUCAGAUGUGUUGACACAAACUAUAUCCGCAAUGUUUCUUUUGUGUGUGUAGGGUGACGUUUGAAUGUGAUGUUCUGCAGCAAUGGGUCAGUAUCCCCUAUUUACCUUAGAUCCUCAUUUGAUAGUGCUUCUUGUAAUAAUUUUUUCAAGUGAGUGGCAUGUUCUGGAUUGUGAUAUUGAUAUAUGGUUAAGGACAUUGAUAUGAAACUAAGGAAUUCCUAGAAAUUACCAGUGGGCAUGUAUUAGACAGUCAUUGUAAUUUAAUGUCUCGUAGAAGUGUAAAGUACCAAGGUAUUUAGAGUUCAUAACAUUGUUAUCAUGUGUAUGGGAAGUAUUUAGUGUUGAUCAGCUUGUUUAUUUUCAUCAAAUAAACUUUGUUUCUUUCUGAAA